rnacentral:rRNA from 1 species
AUUGAACGCUGGCGGCAUGCCUUACACAUGCAAGUCGAACGGCAGCACGGGUGCUUGCACCUGGUGGCGAGUGGCGAACGGGUGAGUAAUACAUCGGAACAUGUCCUGUAGUGGGGGAUAGCCCGGCGAAAGCCGGAUUAAUACCGCAUACGAUCUACGGAUGAAAGCGGGGGCCCUGCGGGCCUCGCGCUAUGGGGUUGGCCCCUGGCUGAUUAGCUAGUUGGGGGGGUAAAGGCCUACCAAGGCGACGAUCAGUAGCUGGUCUGAGAGGACGACCAGCCACACUGGGACUGAGACACGGCCCAGACUCCUACGGGAGGCAGCAGUGGGGAAUUUUGGACAAUGGGCGAAAGCCUGAUCCAGCAAUGCCGCGUGUGUGAAGAAGGCCUUCGGGUUGUAAAGCACUUUUGUCCGGAAAGAAAUCCUUGGCCCUAAUACGGUCGGGGGAUGACGGUACCGGAAGAAUAAGCACCGGCUAACUACGUG